AAAUACUUUGGGUUUUUUAAAGGAAAAAAUAACUCUAAGUUUAGUUUUUAACUCAGCUUUUAAGAGUAUCUUUGCCAUGUUAAGUGAAUAUAUUCUGUUUUUCCUAAUUACUCUGCAUGUAUGCAAUUAUAGAUCUGAAGAAAUGCUUCCUCACUGAUAAUAGUUUAUAGUAAAGAUGAAGUAGCAUCGAGAGAAAAUGUGUAUUAGAUUUUAGGUCUGUCUCCAUAUGGAGCUAGUUCCCUCUUAAAAUUCACUAAAGUGUGGUUCUGGGAGAAGCUAGGCAUCUUUAGGUCAGGUGGUUCACAUUGUUACGGCAGAUGCGCUGCAGCGUAUCAGCUCUGGCGAUAGCCCCGUGGCUGUAGUGUACCAGCUCUGGCAGCUCUGUGGCUGUAGUGGAUCAGCUCUUUUACCCGGCGAGAAACCAAGCGAGCACUAGGAGAGUUGGAGAACUCAGGUUUAUUACGCCGGCAGGCUCAGAGAAGAUCGAUCUUAAGAGUCUGAGCCCGGAAGAAGGGUUUCACAAGGCUUUUAUGGGCUACGUCUUCCGGGUCCAUGCUUGGCUAGUUGGACUGGAGUGACGUCAGGCAAGGUAGUAGAUGUGGAAACAAAUUUACAGAAGCAGAUGUGUGGGGGAGGGGUGGUUGGGACAGUUGGCUAGACUUUGCUUAGUUAUCAUGGCUGGGGUCUCUCCUUUCUACAUUUUUAUUGGGACAUUUUCUCCUACAACAUCAGUACUCAAAGAACUGUCUCAUGUCCCUAAGUAAACAUAAAGUUUAAAAAACUGUUGAUGAAGACAGUUCAACCAUGAUCUUUGUGUUUCUUUGGACUUGUAGUUUUAUUUUCUAUAGUUACCAUUAUUUAUUGUAUCUCUGGUGGUCUGUGUCAAUUUACUCUUUACACAGCUUUGCCAUUUUUUCUUUUAAAAAUGCUAAGAGGCUAUUUCAAAGUAUGUAAAGAAACACUCCCUCAUUUCCUCUUUACCUUUACCCCCACACUCCUGAUUUCCCCAACAUUCGUUGAAAGCAGUAGCUAGUAAACAUCCUGCUUGAUGAAGCAGCAUUUGGUGUUUUUUGAAAUUUAAAAGCAAAAAGAUCAUUGAACUCUAAAGAUAGAUUUGUGGAUUUUAUUUCUGUAUGAAGGUGAAACUGUACAACUCAUAUUGGGACUUGAACCCACUGAUUUUGAAUUAAAAAUCACACACCUGGUCUCAGAACUUACUUAAGUUCAGGUUCUUUAUGCCUCAGCACAGAAGGAAUUUAGAGGGGCAAAGUGAUGGGUAAGAAAUAUGGGGUGGUUAGUUUUUAUGGUCUGGGUAAUAUCAUAGGCAAAGUAGGAGUAGGAGGAUUAUUCCAACUAUUUGGGGGAAGAACUGGGAGAUUUCUAGGAAUUGGGCCACCACCCAUUUGUUGGCAUUUUAUGAUCAGCUAGGGAACUGUCAUGGCACCUGUGGGCUUGUCACUUGGCUGCUAAUGUAUUACAGUGAGUUGUAUAAUGAGGCUCAAGGUCCAUUGGAAGUUGAAUCUUCUGCCAUCUUGGAUCUAGUUGGUUCUAACCAGUUUUUAUUGUAUCCUCAAUGGCUAUGUCAUGCUUUUAAAGGCUGUGCCCCGCCCCCUUCUCUCCUGUUUCAGAGAUGCAGUAUAGAAAUGUAUUAUUGGAGCAGAGGCAGGAGAUAUGCAAGACAGCAUGAAGAUUACUUUGGCCAAAGCCACAGUGAGCUUAAAUAGUCUUUUAAAGUGUAUCAAAUGUAUAGUGUACUUAAAAAGGUGGAAAAGUUACUUGAAAAUAGCUAUUGUAUACCAUUAGGUUAGUUAAAGAGAUUUUGUAGGAUUCCUUUUUAAGAUUAUGUGGUGGCAAAAUGAGUUUGUUAUAACUUGUUUACGUAAAAUUGAGUGAAAUGAGUAAAGACAUGUUUAAAGUCCUGUUGAGAUAAUAAGGUGCUGGCUUAGAAACCUUGGGUGCUAGUUUAAAGUUAACUUUGAUAAUUGUUUCUCUGAUAAAAUAGUCUACUUAAUGGUGAGUACACACCCUCAAGUACUUCUGUCACUUCAGUCAAAGUCAGAGGAAGCGACUAAGAAGGGAAAGGAGAUGAGUAUAUGGAAAGUGAGAGUUACUUAAAAACCAUUGAAAUCUUAGCUGCUGGUAAAUUAUAUGCCAAAUAAUAGUGUUUCUCUGAAUUUUUAGAAAUGUCUGUGGUAGCCGUUUGCUGUAAAGCAGAAGAGUGUCUGACUUGGCUGGAUUUGUUAUUCCUACAGGCUUGCAGCUCAAUCAGAAUCCUUCUCUUUAAGGGAGGGUAGUGUUCUUGACAGCUCUCAUCUUGUACCCUAGUUUGGCCUGGCUGAAAUCAUUUAAGACCAUUAGAAGUGUGUGUUGUUUCCCCGACCCCCAUGUGUAAUAUUUUAGCCUUAAACUUCCUUUGACUUGAAGAUCUUAUCAUCCAAGAUUUUCUAUGCCAGGAUCACUAGGACACUUAACAGGAAGUAUUCUAGGGAAGCAUCAAUAAGUGUUGACUCUGGUACUGUGAUUUGAAGUACAAUGGAUUUAAAAUGUUCUACUAGAUUCUCUUUAUCUGAGGUUAUUAUUUAGUCUUAAAAAAAAAAAAAAGGCAAUGGAGUUCCCAUUGUGAAAUGAAUCCGACUAGUAACCAUGAGGUUGUGGGUUUGAUCCCUGGCCUUGCUCAGUGGGUUAAGGAUCUGGUGUUGCCGUGAGCUGUGGUGUAGGUUGCAGAUGUGGCUCAGAUUCCUGUGCUGCAGUGGUGCAGGCUGGCAGGUGUAGCUCCGAUUAGAUCCUGGGAACCUCCAUAUGCCGUGGGUGCGGCCCUAAAAAAAAAAAAAAAGAAGGGAAAAAAAAGGGCAAAAGUUAAUUUUACAGGAGUUCCUGCUGUGGUGCAGUGGGUUAAUGACCCAGCUUGUUGCUGCAGCGUUGCCAGUUCCAUCCCCCGCCCAGCACAGUGGGUUAAGGAUCCAGCAUUGCUCCAGUUGUGGUGUAGGUCACAGAUGUGGCUCGGAUUUGAUUGCUGGCCUGGGAACUUCCAUAU
rnacentral:lncRNA from 1 species